rnacentral:rRNA from 1 species
UACGGAGGAUGCAAGCGUUAUCCGGAAUGAUUGGGCGUAAAGCGUCCGCAGGUGGCUGUGUAAGUCUGCUGUCAAAGAGCAAAGCUCAACUUUGUAAAGGCAGUGGAAACUACACGGCUAGAGUGCGUUCGGGGCAGAGGGAAUUCCUGGCGUAGCGGUGAAAUGCGUAGAGAUCGGGAAGAACAUCGGUGGCGAAAGCGCUCUGCUGGACUGCAACUGACACUCAGGGACGAAAGCUAGGGGAGCGAAUGGG